GAUGAACGCUAGCGGGAGGCCUAACACAUGCAAGCCGAGCGGUAUUUGUUCUUCGGAACAGAGAGAGCGGCGCACGGGUGCGGAACACGUGUGCAACCUGCCUUUAUCUGGGGGAUAGCCUUUCGAAAGGAAGAUUAAUACCCCAUAAUAUAUUGAGUGGCAUCAUUUGAUAUUGAAAACUCCGGUGGAUAGAGAUGGGCACGCGCAAGAUUAGAUAGUUGGUGAGGUAACGGCUCACCAAGUCAAUGAUCUUUAGGGGGCCUGAGAGGGUGAUCCCCCACACUGGGACUGAGACACGGACCAGACUCCUACGGGAGGCAGCAGUGAGGAAUAUUGGACAAUGGGUUAGCGCCUGAUCCAGCCAUCCCGCGUGAAGGACGACGGCCCUAUGGGUUGUAAACUUCUUUUGUAUAGGGAUAAACCUACUCUCGUGAGAGUAGCUGAAGGUACUAUACGAAUAAGCGCCGGCUAACUCCGUG
rnacentral:rRNA from 1 species